rnacentral:rRNA from 1 species
GUGGGGAAUCUUCCGCAAUGGACGAAAGUCUGACGGAGCAACGCCGCGUGAGUGAUGAAGGUCUUCGGAUUGUAAAGCUCUGUUAAUCGGGACGAAAGAGCCUAGUGUGAAUAAUGCUAGGAAGUGACGGUACCGGAAUAGAAAGCCACGGCUAACUACGUGCCAGCAGCCGCGGUAAUACGUAGGUGGCAAGCGUUGUCCGGAAUUAUUGGGCGUAAAGCGCGCGCAGGCGGAUCUGCCAGUCUGUCUUAAAAGUGCGGGGAUUAACCCCGUGAUGGGAUGGAAACUACAGAUCUAGAGUAUCGGAGAGGAAAGUGGAAUUCCUAGUGUAGCGGUGAAAUGCGUAGAGAUUUGGAAGACCACCAGUGGCGAAGGAGACUUUCUGGACGAUGUCUGACGCUGAGGCGCGAAAGCUAGGGGAGCGAACGGGAUUAGAAACCCGGGUAGUCC